rnacentral:rRNA from 1 species
AGUGAACGCUGGCGGUAGGCCUAACACAUGCAAGUCGAACGGCAGCACAGUAAGAGCUUGCUCUUACGGUUGGCGAGUGGCGGACGGGUGAGGAAUACAUCGGAAUCUACUUUUUCGUGGGGGAUAACGUAGGGAAACUUACGCUAAUACCGCAUACGACCUACGGGUGAAAGCAGGGGAUCUUCGGACCUUGCCCGAUUGAAUGAGCCGAUGCCGGAUUAGCUAGUUGGCGGGGUAAAGGCCCACCAAGGCGACGAUCCGUAGCUGAUCUGAGAGGAUGAUCAGCCACACUGGAACUGAGACACGGUCCAGACUCCUACGGGAGGCAGCAGUGGGGAAUAUUGGGCAAUGGGCGCAAGCCUGAUCCAGCCAUACCGCGUGAGUGAAGAAGGUCUUCGGGUUGUAAAGCCCUGUUGUUGGGGAAGAAAAGCAGCAGGUUAAUACCCCGACGUUCUGACGGUACCCAAAGAAUAAGCACCGGCUAACUUCGUG